GUUGCAGGACCAAUCCACUCCUCACUAGAUGAUAUUUUUACUCUUAUCUGACCUUAUUGCUGCUCACACUUUAUGUCCCAGGAUGGAAAGAUGAUGGAGGAGUGCCCCCUUAUAAUAGGAAGCACCUGCUUGACUGGAAACCAAAUUCGAGGUGAAGUUGCUUGACCCCAUUCACCCUUCACCAGAUUGUAUCCUCAGCUCUAUCUGAUCUUAUUGCUGCUCAACUCUAUGACCAAAAAUGAUAUCCCAAGAUGAUAGAUGAGAGUUCCCUCAUGAAGUGAAGCCCCUGCUCAGCUGGGAACUGAAUUGAGGAUUAUUGGACCAUCACGUGGAUUCCACAGAGAAGACAGGUGAAGUUGCGGUACCCCAUCCACCUCUCACCAGAUUGUAUACUCAUCCUUAUGUGAUCUUAUUGUUGCUCAUACUCCAUGUCCCAGGAUGAAAUGACAAGAUGAUGGAGGAGGGCCCCCUCAUGAUGUGAAGCACCAGCUCAGUUGGGAACCAAAUUCGAGGGCAAGGUGAUUUAGAUGCUGGUAUGUCUCGGUAUGUCUCCCAGUUCACUGAGAUGUCAUGAUCUGUAGAAUAUUAAAGAACACUAAGGUCUGCAGCCCAAGCAGAGCCACAUAGACAGGCCAACAAAAGGUGUGUUAACUAUAAUCUUAUAAGCAGACUCCACUUACAGGAACACAAACACACACACAAUGGAAUACACACAUGUAGAUGUCCAACACUCCAACAUUCCUUUAAGCUGACUCCACUCACAGUGCACACCCCCCAUACACAAUAACACACAAUGUUACACAUACAUACAGACAUCCAACACUCACAACACUUCCACCAAAACACACACCCUGGCAACUCCUGAGGCUCCAUGUUUCUGCAGAAAGCUGCAUCUGGAAGAGGGCAACCCUGGGAAAAAUAGGGGGACUGUACCUAGAAAUCACAAUGGGUCAAGUUUCAAAAAGAGUCACCCCUAAAAUGUCUAGGCAGACUUCAGGAAUCCUGCAAGUUUUUGGAUCUUUAGGGAUUCCCUGGUUUAUACCUGGGGAUGUGCUUGAUGUCUAUUUAGGCUGGGUCACAUCUGCCCUCUUCUAGGAUCAUGGUACUAACUGGUGGAUCCCACAGAUAAGACAGGUGAGAUUCCACGGCUGACGUACCUCCACAGGAGUCUCCUUCUUUGCCAAGCUGCAGGGACUUGUUGCUAGGCAACAGUGACAUAUAUUGCGAGACCAGUCAGAGUUCACAAUCAGGCCUGGUGCCUGAAGACUAGUACAUGCACAUUUGUGAGGCAGGUUUGGGCACACACAAUACCCAAAAAAAUAAAAAUAAAAAUAAAUAAAUAAAUAAAAAGAGGUAUUGAAGUGCAUUAGCCACAUUCUUAUAAGCAGACUCCACUUACAGGAGCACACACACACACACACACACACACGCACACACAAUGCAACAUACACACACAGACAUACAACACUCCAGCAUUCCUUUUAAGCUCUGUCAGAGCUGUCAGCCUGCCUAAGCAUAGAAAUAUAGAACAGGCAGAGCCAGCCUGGUAUUGGGAAAAAGGCUGCCUGCAAAAACCCACUGCAGGACCUUUAGACAUCAGGGUGCCUUUGGGCCAUCUCCUUUGUUGGGACAUGUGGGAGGGGGAGCCGUUUCCAGAUGGUGAGGUGGUCGCUGGAAACUUCUCUUCUGACUCCAUUGUUGAAAGAGGCUGUGUGCAAGAAUGCAGCCCCACGAAGAUUGGAGGAAAAUAAUCUGGUGUGUUUUUGAGGGUUCUUUGGGUGAUGGAAUCAUACCUGAGAUCCCAGAGGUGAGUGUCAGUGAAAGAGGGCUGGACACUUUAUCUCACUGCCUUUCUUCAUUGUGGGUUCUCUGGAAAAGGCAGGAAACACAACAAAGAAAAGUCCAAAAUAGAGCAGGAUUCUCACUCCUUGAACUGGCCUCUUAUGGGUGCAGAUGAGGUUAGUGUCUCAGAGGCUGUCUGUGGCGAUUGCAAACCUGAAAAGUUGUCCAGUAGUGCUGCUGAGGGGAACUCUGGAUUCCUCAUGAAAGUAAAGAAACAUCAAGGCUCACUUGAGAGAAUGAGCUGCCUUGUGCUGCAGUCUCAGCAGUGUUCAAUGAUUCCUGUCAGAGAACCCAAAUAUCUCAUGCAAAGUGCAAAUAGUCGCAGGUCCCACAAGGAGACAACCACCCACAACCUGGAUCACAGCUAGCCUACCAGAUGUCCCUUUUGCUUUCUGAAAUCACUUGCAACUUAAUGAUCAGCUGCAAGAAGCAGUCCCAUCCAGCAACAUGCCCAUAAAGAGCCCCUCCAAAAUGAGAAGGUCGUACAGAUGAAAUGAAACAGAGGCUAGAUUACCAGGCAAAAGCCAGACAUGGCUGCCUGAUUCUCAUGCUACAGUAAUCAUGCAGGCCUCCAAUAAAAGUGAAAGAACAAGAAUUUCCUUGUUGUUGGCUGUAACAGGAAUUUUCAGUUUUAAAAGUGUCAAACUGCCCAGUCGUUAAAACGUGAGAGUUUAGAAGGAAGCACUCAUGCAAUGGAUUCCCAUGAGGGUCGCUCCCUGUGAACUGGGAAAGGUUUAGUGUGAAGGUCUUUGAGGCCGACCAGGAAUCCCUAAGCCAAGGAGAAAUAUGGAAGUCAGGAGAAGUGGAGGAGAGUCUGGAGGCCACAUCCCACCCAGCAUCAAUUCAUUCCACUCCCAUUUGUCUUUGGGUAUGGAAGUACUCAAAUGGGGAGUUUGCGAGCAUGGCCCCAAUUUGCAAUCCAAAUAUUCAUUGCAAGUUAGAGUACUUUCACCUGAACACCGUGACAUGGUGUGGACUGCUUGUGCAAUUAAUCAAAUGUGGGGAUGAAGCUGGAAGCACCCUCCGUGUCAUCUAUCUUUUUCUUUUUUUUGCAGGUAAAGUUACGACCCACGACGACUCCUCACCAGAUUGUAUACUGACCCCUAUCUGACUUUAUACCUGCUCACACUCUAUGUCUCUCAGAGCUGUCAACCUGACUAAGCAGAGAAAAGUGGUACAGUCAGAGCAGUCCUGGUAUUGGGAAAAACACUGCCUGUGAAAACCCACUGUGGAACCCUGAAUGUUUCAGCCUCAGAGCUCCUUCAAACCAUCUCCAUGUUCAGGUCCUGCUGGAGGAGGAGGCAUUUCGAGACUCUGAGGGAGUCCCUGGACUGCUCUCCUGACUCCAUUAUGGGAAGAGGCUGUGUACAAGAAUCGGGCCCCAUGGGGAUUGGAAUAUAGUCUGGUGUGUUGUUGAGAGUUUUUUUAUGUGAUAGAAUCGUACUUGAGACCCCAGAGGUGGAUGCCAGUGAAUUUUGGAUGGGUUAAUGAUGUCACUGACUUUAUGCUGGGUCCCACACAGGUUCUCUGGGAACCCAGGAAUAAUGAUAAAGGCAAAUUCAAGGUGGAGCAGAGUUCCCACCCUCAAACUGGUCUCUUACAGGUGCAGAUGAGGCUGAGAUGGUGUCUCAGAGGUCGUCUGUGGCAGUGGCAAGCCUAAAAAGUGUGUCCAGUAGUGCUAGUGAGGGGUACCGUGGAACUUCCUACCCAUGAAAGCAAAGAAAAAUCAAGGGGAAGGUGCAGGAUCCCAUCCACUCCUCACCAGAUUGUAUCCUCAUGUCUAUCUGCUCACACUCUCUGUCUCAGAAUAAAGUCCUGAGAUGUUGGAGGAAUGAAGUGACCCCUGACAAUGUGAAGUACCAUCUUAGCUAUGAACUGAAUUGGAGGUAAAUUCAAGGGGUGCCGUGGACAGUACUGCUGGUGUCUCUCCCUCGGAUGGCCACAGGACAAUGCAUCACUGAAAGGCUGGCUCACGUCUGCCCUCUCCUAGGAUUAAGGGACUAUCUCCUGGAUACCAGAGAGAAGACAGGAGAAGGAGGUUUUUAGAGACUGUGAGCUGGUCGCUGGAAAUUUCUCUUCUGUCUCCCUUCCUAAAAGAGGCAGUGUGCAAGAAUUGUGUCCCAUGGGGAUUGGAACGUAGUCUGGUGAGUUGUGGAGCGGUCUUUGGAUGAUAGAAUCAUACCUGAGACCCUAGAUUUGGGUUCCUGCAAAUGAUGGUCAUGUCCUUAGCCUCACUGCCUCCCUUCAUCCAGGGCCUUGCAGGGUCUCUCUGUGAAAUGCAGGAACCACGACAAAGGCAAGUCCAAAAUGGAGCAGUGUUCUAAAAUUUUGAACUGGCCUCUCAUGGGUGCAGAGGAGGUUGAGAUAGUGUCUCAGAGGUCAUCUGUGGCAAUUGAAAGGCUCAAAAGGAUGUCCAGUAGUGCUGUUGAAGGAGCAUUGUGGACUUCCCAAGAAAGAAAAAAAAUCAAAGGUCAUAUGUGAGAAAGAGAUGACCUGUGCUGGAGUCCAAGCAACAUUCAAAGAUUACUGUCAGAGAACUCAAAACCCUUCUGCAAAGUGCAGACAACCUCAGCAUCUACAACGAGCAUCCUGACCCACAACCUGAAGUGCUACCCAACCUACCCAGAGUCCCUUUUUCUCCCUGAAAUCCCUGAAACCAAUAGAUCUGUGGCCAGAGGGGGGCCCAUCCAGCAACAGCCUAAUAACAGAUCCGCUGCACAAUGAGAAAGGAUGUGCAGAUGCAACGAAACACAGCAUAGAUUACCAGGCAAUAUCUAGACAUGGCUGUCUAUUUCUCAUCCUACAGGAAUCAUGCAGCACUCUGAUAAAAGUUGGAGAACAAGAGUUUCCUUGUUGGUGGCUGUAACAGAAAUCUACAGUUUUAAAAUUAUCACAGCUGCCCAGUCAUUAAAAUGUGACAGUGUUUAAAAGAAAACACUCAUGCAAUGGAUUCCGUUGAGGGUCAUCUUCUGUGAACCGGAAGCAUGGAAGACAUUGACCCAGAUCCAGGAAACCCUAGGUCGAUGAGGAACAUGGAAGACAAGAAAAGAAGGGGCAAGUGUGAAGGCCCCACAUCCCACCUUGCAUCUAUCGAUCUCAUCCCCAGCUUGAGCCAAAUAUGAAAGCCCUCAAAUCAAGAGUUUGCCAGGAUGUCCCCAGUUUGCACAUCAAAUGUUCCCUGGAUAUUGCUGUACCCCCACCUGAACACUGAGCCAUGGUGAGGACUGCUUGUGCUAUUAAGGAAAUGUGGGGAUGAUGUUGGAAGCACUUACUGUGUCAUCUGUCUUCACAUUUUUUGCAGGUGAAGGUGUGGUACCCCACUCACUGUCUCCCCCGCCAAUUUCACCCUCACCCCUAUCUGACCUUAUUGCUGCUCAUACUCUCUGUCUCUGAAUGAAAUCCCAAGACAAUCUAGGAAUGCAUUCUCAUGACUAGAAGCACCUGCUCAGCUAGGAACUGAAUUCAAACUAAAUUCAAGGGGCCCUGUGGACAGGACUUCCGGUGUUUCUCCCUGGGAUGGCCAAGGACAAUGAAAUACGGGUGGAUGUCUUUUCUUGGGGUGGUGUGCUCCUUUUCUUUCUAGAACAGUGACUUUUUCUUUUGCAGGCAGAGAUGAUAUCAGAGUCAACUUCGAUGUAUCAGAGUCAACCUCCCAAUUCUCCAUGGAUUCAUGAUCCAGAGGAAAAUAGAAAACACAGAGACCUGCAGCCCAAGCAGAGCCACACAGACAGACCAUCUAAAGGAUAAUGAGACUAUCCCACGGAUCCCACAGAAAAGAGACGAGAGUCCACCACCAAUGCACCUUCAUGGAGGUCUCCUUCUCAGCCAAGCCUCAGGGAUUUGUUGAAAGGAAAUGACGCCAUUCACUGUGAUGCUAGCCAGAGCUCACAGCUCAGCCUAAUACCCUGAGACUAGAGCAUGAGCAUUAGUAUGUGGGCUCAGUUCCUGGCAGUCAGAGCUAUCAGUUUGCAUAAGUAGAUAAAAAUGGUACAGGCAGGGCCGGCCUGGUAUUGGGAAAAAUUGCUGCAUGCAAUAACCUACUGCAGAACCCUGAAAGUCUUGAACUUAAGGCCUCUUUGGGUCAUUCUUGUGGUUGGGUCUCACUGGAGGAGAAGGUGUUUCAAGGCUAUGGAAAGGUCAUUGGGAACUGCUCUUCUGACUCCAUUCCCAAAAGAGGCUAUGUACAAGAAUCGGUUCCCAUGGGAACUGGAAUGUUGUCUGGUGAGUUGUGGAGGGUUCUAUGGGUGUCAGAAUCAUACCUGUGACCACAGAAGUGGGUGUCAGGGAAAGAUGGCUGGUUCCUUAACCUCACUGUGUCUCUUCAUCCCUGGGUCUCAUAGGAGUUCUAUGGGAAAGGCAGGAAAUAGGAUAAAGUCAUGUCCAAGGUAGAGUUGUGUUCUCACACCUUGAACUGGCCUCUCAUGGGUGCAGAUGAAGAUGAGACAGUGUCUCAGAGUUCUUCUGUUUAUUAUUGCAAUCCUGAAAAGGGUGUCAGGUAGUGCUGUUGAAGGACACAAUGGACCACAUGAAAGUAAAGAAAAAUCAAGGCUUAAGUGAGAGAACCAGCUGCCUGGUUCUGGAGUCCAAGCAACAUUAGAAGAUUCCUGUCAGGGGAUGCAAAAGCCCCCUACAAUGUGCAAAUAUCCUCAGCCCCCACAACAAAACCAUGACUCAAAACCUAUAGUGCAGCAAGCCUACCCAAAGUCCAUUUUGCUCCCUGAAAUACCUGGCAGUGAAUAGACAUGAGGCAAGAGUUAGCCCCAUCCAGCAACAGCCCAAUAAAAGAGCCCUUCUCAAUGCAAAAAGACAAGAAGAUAAAGUGAAACAAAGCCUAGAUUCCCAAAGCCAGAUGUGGCUGCCUGCUUCUCAUCCUACAGGCAUCAGGAAGUCCUCUGAUAAAACCUGGAUAACAAGAAUUUCCUUGUUGGUGACUAUAAAAGAAACUUAUGGUUUUAAAAGUAUAAAAACUGUCCAGUUAUUAAAAGUUGCCAGAGUUGAGAAGGAAACACUCACACAAUGGAUUCCCAUGAGGGUAAUCUUCAGUGACUUGGGAAACGUUUAGCAUGGAAGACACUGAGCCAGGACCAGGAAAUCCUAGGCCUAUGAGGAACAUGGAAGCCAAGAAAGGAAGAGGCAAGUGUGGAGGCCACAUCCCACCCAUCAUAUAUCCAUUCCACUCCCAUUUGGCUCUGGGUAUGAAAGCCCUCAAAUCAGGAGUUUGCCAGGAUGGCCCCAAUUUGUAAUCCAAAUGUUCCUUACAAAUUGGAGUACUCCCACAUGAAAAAUGGACCAUGGUUUGGACUGCUUGUGCAAUUAAGGGAAUGUAGAGAUGGAGUUGGAAACACCUGCUGUGUCAUUGGUCUUCAUGUUUUCUGCAGGUGAAGUUGAGGCACCAUAUCCACACCUCACCAGAUUGUAUCAUCACCUCUAUCUGAGCUUAUUGCUGCUCACACAGUAUGUCCCAGGAUGAAAUUCCAAUACCAUGGAGGAGUGCUCCCUCACAAUGUGAAACACCUGCUCAGCUGGGAAUCGAAUUCAAGAUGGAGGUGAUUUUGACACCGGCGGGUCUCAGCCCUCCUCCCGAUUCACUGCAGAUUCAUGAUUCACAUAAAAAGAAAUAACAUGGAGCUUCACAGUUCAAGCAGAACCACACAGACAAGCAAUCAAAAGUUUGGGAGACUCAAAAAAAAAAGAAAGAAAAGAGAAGAAAAAAAAGCAUUGCAGUGAGUUAGGCACAUUCCUUUAAGCAGAAUACACUUUCAGAAUACACGUUCAGGCACACACACACAAACAAACACACAAUGCCACACACACUCGCGAACAUCUAACACUCGCGGACAUCUAACACUCGCAACACUCCCACAGAAACACAAAGCCUGGCACCACCUGAGGCUGUGUGGUUAAACAGGAAGCCCCAUCUCAGGGAUAGCAACCCCAGGGAUCUCAGGCGGGCUGUGCCUGGAUAUCACAGUGGAGCACGUUUCAAAAAGACUCACCCCUACAAUAUCUAGGCAGGCCCGAAGAAUCCUGCCCGUGAUUUGAAAUCCUAAGGGAUUUAGCUUGAGGUUUCUUCAGGCUAGUUCACAGCUGCCCUCUCCUAGGAUCAUGCAACUAUGCUGUGGAUACCACACAGAAGUCAGGUGAGAGCCCAUGGCCGACGCACCUCCACAAAGGUCUCCUUCUCCGCCAAGCCGCAGGAAUUUGCCUUUAGGCACAGUGACAUUCAUUGUGAAGCUAGCCAGAGUUCACAGUCAGGCCUGGUGCCCUGAGACUAGCGCAUGCGCAUUCAUGAGCAGGCUCCGGCGCUGUGCUGUCAGAGCAGACAGCCUGCCUAAGCAGAGAAAAAAAUGAUACAGGCAGAGCCGGCCUCGUAUUGAGAAAAAGGCUGUUGUGAAAACCCACUACGGGUAUAUCCCCAGUAAUGGGAUGGCUGGGUCAUAUGGUACAUCUAGUUCUAGAUCCUUGAGGA